UACGUAGGGUGCAAGCGUUGUCCGGAAUUAUUGGGCGUAAAGAGCGUGUAGGCGGCCCGAUUAGUCCGCUGUGAAAGUCCAGGGCUCAACCCUGGAAUGCCGGUGGAUACUGUCGGGCUAGAGUCCGGAAGGGGCGAGUGGAAUUCCUGGUGUAGCGGUGAAAUGCGCAGAUAUCAGGAGGAACACCAGUGGCGAAGGCGCCGCUCUGGGCCGUGACUGACGCUGAGGAGCGAAAGCGUGGGUAGCAAACAGG
rnacentral:rRNA from 1 species